GGCACUUUGCUGCAGGACCCCACCUUGCUGAAUUCCUGGAGGGAGAGAUGCAAAGCCCAGCUGGAUGUGAGGGAGCCAUCUGAGCCAAAAUAGGAGCUGAAGCCCCAGAAAGUGGUGGGGUAGAGCUGUGAAUCCUAGCAACAGGCGGGGAAAGAACUGUACGUUUCCUCACGUCCUCCAAGUGUUGGUGCCUUCUGGUACAUCCCUGACAGGAAGAGACAGAGACCAUGGAAAGGCCCUCCUUGCUGAUGCAUCAAGAAAGGGCACAUUUUUUCCAGUGGGAUGGGUUUUGACUCAGUUACUUGUCUGGGAGGCUGCUGUGUGAAGGUGGAGCCCCCAAACUGGAGCUUUUUUCCCUUAACCCUCCCGCACCACUGGGAAUAAUAAUUCCUCACAGGGCUGUUGCACAGCUUGAUUCAUUAAGGCUUAUGAAGUGCUUUUAGCUCCGGCACUGAAAGGCUCUGUGCAAGUUAUUUUGGACGGCUCAGGUGUUAGGAGGAGAGGUGUUGCAGAAGGAAUGCAAAUAAAUCAAGAGACACUGCCCCUUCCUUCCACGCAUCCCCUGCCCCGCACGGAUCUCCAUCACUGUUGGUGUCAAACAGUUAAUUUACAAGCCCAGCACUUUACAAAGCCCCUGGAGCACCAAUUGUCCCUUUCUCAUGCAACAUCAGCUCCUCAGAACAGCCAGCUGAGUCUCCGGGGUCAGCCUGCUCCUGCCCUUCCCAAGGCAACUCCAGCCUCUCUCCGGAACCGCCUGGGUGUUUAUUUAUUU